rnacentral:rRNA from 1 species
UGAGGAAUUUUGCGCAAUGGGGGAAACCCUGACGCAGCAACGCCGCGUGGGCGAUGAAGGCCUUCGGGUCGUAAAGCCCUGUCGGGCGGGAAGAACGCUCUUGGUCGAAGGACUGGGGGGUGACGGUACCGCCAGAGGAAGCACCGGCUAACUCCGUGCCAGCAGCCGCGGUAAUACGGAGGGUGCAAGCGUUAUUCGGAAUUACUGGGCGUAAAGGGCGUGCAGGCGGGAGAGCAAGUCUGAUGGGAAAGCCCGGGGCUUAACCCCGGAAGGGCAUUGGAAACUGCUGUUCAUGAGUUCUGGAGAGGAAGGGAGAA